rnacentral:lncRNA from 1 species
UUUUUUUUUUUCCCUGUCUUUUUAGGGCCUCACUCACAGCAUAUGGAAGUUCCCAGGCUAGGAGUCAAAUUGGAACUGUAGCCACUGGCCUAUUCCACAGCCACAGCAACACCAGAUCCAAGCUACAUCUGUGAUCUACACCACAGCUUGUGGCAAUGCCAGAUCCUUAACACACUGAUCAAGGCCAGGGAUGAAACCUGCAUCCUCAUGGAUACUAGUCGAGUUCUUAACCUGCUGAGCCACAACAGGAACUCUAAGAGUGUUUCAUCUUUAAGGAGUGCUUUGUGUAGGAAGUGCAGCCCAACUUGUAUUUUUCCCACCCUUAUUUCCAGUUGUCCCAUUUCCUCACCUGCUUCAGAUGUUAUCCUACUUUUGUAUUUCUGUAAAUGUCAAAAUAAAGCCUGAAUAAACAAAAUAAAGGUUGGUAGAAAAUUUUCAAUCUAUUCCUCACCUCUUUUUGAUCACUUUCUCAAGAAUGCUAAAGUCUCCUAGUAGAAUUAAGAGAGAUGAUGUGCAGAAAGCAGUUAACGUUGCAAACCUGAGGCUUCUAUGUUUAAAAAGGCCUGCAUUCAAGGUGAGCCCUGGGCUGGCAUCUAGACCUUGAAUUGUUGGGAGAGUUACUAUCACCCUAACUGAUACAAGUGGCCAAAAAUGUGCGUACAAACAAUGGGCUUUAUGCUGAAGGUCUGCCUUCCUUCUGUGAGUCUGGAAUUUUGUCACAUGCUGUGCCUAUGUGAUCAGCCCUCAAGGAAAACUUUCGAGCACUGAGUCUCUAAUAAGCCUCCCCAACAGCAUUUCACACAUGUUGUCACAAGGGAGUCAUCCAUUGGGAGAGGAUGCUAGGGCCUUCUCCUGGGCCUCUCCCUUGUUCCUUUGCCCUUUGCUGAAUUUGCUAUGUAUCUUUUAGCUGUAAUAAAUCUUAGCCUUGAGUAUGCCCAUAUUUUGAGUCCUAUGAGUUCUCCAAGUGAAUCAUCGAACCCAAGGUUCUUGGAAACCCCCAACAUCCCAGAAGGUCUCAGCUGGAAAUUUUUAUUCAUCAGCAAUGUCAAUAGCAUCAGCAUUUUAGUGUUAAAUGUUCUUAAUAUGUCCCUGUCAUUAUAGGUUUUAUAAACAAGAUCACAGCUUCUACAUCAACUCUUCAAGAAAAAGGCAUGCAGAAAAACCACAUAAGUAGUAUAGCUUUUCAGCAAAAGGCUUAGACUAUAUUCCUUCCAUGUCAUCCUGAACUUUCCAGGUCUGAAUCUUGACCCUGCUAUCUUGGGCAAGUUAGUAAGCCUUGCCUCACUUUCUUCACCUGUAAAAUUAGAAUAAUAAUAGUACCUAUCUCCAAGGUACAGAUUGAGUGCCUACAGAAAGUACUUAGUGAGACACAAAGCGUAUUUUGGUGUCAAAAUGACAGAAGUGAAAUUAAACCUUGAGAAUAGGAGUUCCUGUUGUGGCACAGCUGAAACAAAUCUGACUAGGAACCAUGAGGUUGCAGGUUCGAUCCCUAGCUUCGCUCAGGGGGUUAAGGAUCCAGUGUCGCCAUGAGCUGUGGUGUAGGUCACAGACAAGGCUCAGAUCCUGCAUUGCUGUGGCUCUGGCGUAGGCUGGCAGCUGUAGCUCCAAUUUGACCCCCAGCCUGGGACCCUCCAUAGGCCGACAGUGUGGCCCUAAAAUCUUGGAUAUAAACUCUAUUUUGACAUCAAAGCUUCUUUUAACACAAGACCAAAAACAUGAAAUAAGGAAGUUCCCUUGUGGCAUAGAAGGUUAUGGAGCUGGUGUAGCAACUAUGUCUCAGGUCCCAGCUGUGGCUUAGGUUCAAUUCCUGGCUGAGAACUUCCACACACUGUGGGUAUGUCAAAAUAAAAUAAAAUUAAAAAACAGAACAAUGAAAUAAACAAAACCUGUCACUUGGCUAUUCAAGUAGUCUGAGACUGGCCAAGUAUGCAGUCUCAUUUCCCAAAAAUUCCAGAGAACAAAAAUAGACACAAAGGUGGGGCUGUAGCAAGAGUAAUUGUAGCACAGGAAGAUGAAGUUUAUAUAAGAUAACCAGAGAGAGUCCUUAGUGUAAAAGGCACUAUUUUCCUGCCUAUAAUCAUUUUUAUGUUCAAUUUACUAAUACUCCUUUUGCAAGAUAGCCCAUCCCCAAUUUUAAAAUUGCCUGGUGUGCUAUGACUGAAUUAUAAAAUGUACACUCUAAGACAUAAUUGAUUCAGUAGUCUUCCGGGUUCUAAUCCCACAGUUCACCUAAAUCUGCAUUCUCAGGAAAAAAAAAAAAAUCAGAUAGAUAGAGACCAUCAACCAGCAUGUCUUAUUCCAUAUCUGAUUCAAGAAGAGCUUCUAGGAAUUCCCACUAUGGUUCAGUGGGUUAAGAACCCAACACUGUCCCUCUGAGGAGGCAGGUUCAAUCCCUGGCCUCCUUCAGUGGUUUAAGGAUCUUAAGUUGCUGGAAGCUGCAGCUUAGGUCACAGAUGUGGGUCUGAUCCAGUGCUGCUUGGAUCCAAGCUGCAUCCCACACACACAGCAACAUAAGGCAGGUAUCAAACCCUGGUCCUCAUGGAUAUUAGUCAGGUUCAUUUGCACUUCGCCACAGUAGAACUCCCUUUUUUUGUCUUUUUAGGCCACAGGUGCGGCAUAUGGAGAUUUCCAGGCUAGGGGUCGAAUCAGAGCUGUAGCUGCUGGCCUACUCCACAGCUGUAGGAUCCCGCCACAGCAAUGAGGGAUCCAGCCACAGCAAUGAGGGAUCCAGCCACGUCUUUGUGACCUACACCACAGCUCACAGCAAAGCUGGAUCCUCAACCCACUGAGCAAGGCAAGGGAUCGAACUGGUAUCCUCAUGGAUACUAGUUGGGUUCGUUACCACUGAGACAGGGCGGGAACUCCCUUUUCAUUUUUUUUCUUUCAUAUUAAAGUUUUCAUAUUCCAGCAUAGAAGAACAAUGACAUGUACCAAGUCAUAGUAAUAAAUAAUUCAUUGUUAACUUCUAUUAUAUGAGUGCCUGGGACUUUGACCUCAAACCUGCCAGGAUUAGAGCCACUGAUGACAGGGUACCCUGUGUUUCCCUGAACAGACCUCCAUGUGGCUGACGUCCUCUAUCCACAUGGCUGAGACCAUCGCUGGCAGAAGUGCCUGCCCAGGUAACAGAUCACCUUACUCAUUCAGAGAAUACUGAAAUCUAGGCCAAGAAGGGUGGCUGUGGGGCCCCAAAGCACAUGGCAAGUUAUGAUGGGCAUUCCCCUGAAAACAAGCUAAAGUAAACAAACUAGACAAGCUAAACUAAAGUUCAUUUUACCUCUCCAUUAACAUACUCCCCAAGAAUAUGUGGUACCAGGUGAAGUACCUCUUUUCUAGAUCAGGAGAAGCCAAAUUUUCAAAGCACUGUGAAGAGAGAAUAUAUUCAAACUCACCAUGGCAAAAACACUGACAGCUGGUUUCUUUUCUUUCUUAUCAUUUUUACUGAAAAACAGCAAGAGAAUUACACAAAACUUUAAAAACGUUAUAAAUCUUUUACUCAAUUGAUAAAGAGUUUAUAUUUAGUAACAACACAAACAUGUCUAUGAUAUACUAUUCCUUAAAAUAAAAAGAGGUUAGGAGUUUCUUGGUGGCUCAGCAGGUUAAGGAUCUGUCAUUGUCAUUGCUGUGGUGUGGGUUCAAUCCCUGGCCCAGGACUUCUAAAUGCCUGGGCCAAGGCAAAAAAAAAAAAAAAAAAAGAAAGAAAUUAAACUAAAAACAGGUUAAUACUCUCCCAUUUAUGAAGUAUGUUUCUUAGAACUAUAUAUAUGUGGUUAUCAGUGUGUACUGAGAUUUCUAUCAAAAUAUCUUGUGUCUUUGGUAUUUCCUAAUUUUCUGUGAAGAAUACACAGAGGGACACAACUUUGGCAAUAGAAAAAAUAAAACUAAAUAAAGAGAGCUUCCCGGUUUUAUUCUAACUAGAAAAUAUUCAUGCUCUCUGGAGUUAACCUCCUUAAUUAUCAUCUGAUUAAUUCUAACACUGCAUAUUCUAUCUACUACAUAGAUAUUAUCCUUAAUCAUACCCUUUACUAAGGGAGGGUAGUGGUGAUCACACGCAGGGCAUAAAUUACCCUAAAAAAGAAAGGUAAUUACAUCACUUUCAAUGAGCAAAUCUAAUUGUGAAAAGAUGUCUGGGGCCCUAAAUGGACCGUUACAGCAAUAAACGCAACCCAGAAAAACUACAGUCAAAAAAGACGGUUUGUAAACAGCAAAGCAAGGCAUUGGAAGUCAGUUAUUUUGCACUCAUAUUCAAAUUACUUUAACUCUAAUUCUCCACCUUAAGUGCCUACCACCCAGCAUAUGAGAGCAAACCAACCAUAAUCAGGCUCCGCAUAUCUAAGUUCCACACAUAUGUAAAGAACUAUUUUUACACAGAUUUUCCAGUUCAAAAAGUAAAUUCAUCUUUGUUCUUUACACUCUGUGAGGUCAAAAAGUUGAAGUAACUUCUAAGGAAAAAAAAUUCAGAGUUUAUCCCAUAUUUGGCUUUGGAGUGAUGUUAGUCGGACAUAAAAACACACAAAAUACACAAAUAAAACUCUUCAGAUUUGGUCCCACCCUAUACUCAGUAAAGGCAUGAUUUCAGUAUCCCUGGAAUCAGGAGGAGAGGGGAAAAACAGCCAUACAUAAUUGAGUUUUAGCGCUAAGCUUUUUAUUUAUUUUUUCAUUCUCUCAAACUGCAGCUACUGAGAAUUUUAAAUGUUCCAGACACUAAGUAAACACUUCCCAUACAGGACCUCAUUUAACCUUAUCUUAAUCUUUGUGAGGCAGGCACAUUUUUGUCCUUUUUUCUUUAAAGGCAAAAGAACUGCAGGUAAGAAGAGUACACUACCUUGUCCCAGCACACACAGCCAAAGUCAAGAUUGAUUGACUGAAACUAAAACACGAGGAUACUUGAUGCAACAUCACCAUUGCACAGAAACACACUUCCACACUGACUCUCACCCCAACACUGCUAACAAAAGGCAAGUCGCUUAUCAAAACACAUUUUAAUAAAGGAUCUUUACAAAUAUAAAUGCCAAAUGGUACUGUUAUCCAAGCAUUACAUCUAUUAGCCAAGCCACAUGCUUCUUCAUAAUUUCACAUUAGAAUUUAAACCUCAUAGAAAAACAACUAACUUUUGUGCUUACUAGAGAUGGGAGGAGGGAACGGGAGGAAGUUGGUCCAAGGACACAAACUUCUAGUUAUUAGAUGAAGAAGUGCUAGGGAUGUGAAGUACAAGACGACUGACAGCCACUGCUCUAUGCACAUAUUAGAGUUGUCAAGAGAGUAGAUCUAAGAGUUCCCAACACAAGAAAGUAAGUGUUGUUCUUUGCUUUUUCUUUCUCUUUUCUUUUUAGGGCUGAACCCUCAGCAUAUGGAAAUUCCCAGGCUAAGGGUCAAAUCAGAGCUGUAGCUGCCAGACUACGACAUAGCCACAGCAACACAGGAUCGAAGCUGAGUCUGUGACCUACACCACAGCUCACGGCAAAGCUGGUUCCCCAACCCACUAAGCAAGGUCAGGGAUCAAACCCACAUCCUCAAGGAUACUGUUCAUAUUCAUUUCCACUGUGCCACAAUGGGAACUGCUUGUUUGCUCUUUCUUUAUGAGAUGAUGGAGGUUAGCUAAACUUAUCACGCUAAUAUUUCACAAUAUUUAUAAGUCAAACCAUUACGCUGUAGACUUUACACUUACACAGUGUUAUAUGUCAAUUAUAUUUCAAUAAAACUGGAAAAACAUAGUUUUGUGAAGAACAGAUUAAAAUCAGUAAUAAAGCUACUUAACUACAAAAAGUUUUCGAGUUUGAAAAAAGAAAUCCAUAGGCACACUAAGAAUCAAAAAUAAAAUGAAGGCAUAUGCAGGCUCAAAUUUUAGUCCCCCCCCCCUUUUUUUCCCAAAAUUUGUACUCUUAUUUUCUGAGGAAUAAAUAUAAGUAAAUGUCGGGAAUAUUUACCGAACACUUUUUUUAAAAAAAACUGGGGUAUAACUAACAUAACAACAUUGAAUUAGUGGCAGAUAUACAACAUACUGAUUCGAUAUUUGUAUAUAUUUUUAAAAUGAUCACCACAAUAAGUCUAGAUAACAUCUGUCAUAUAUAAUCACAGCAACUUUCAAAUACGCAAUACAGUAUUACUGACUAUAGUCACAGUGCUAUAUGUUACAUUCCAUGACUUAUUUUCUAACUGGAAAUUAGUACCUUUUGACUUUACCCAUUCUGUCCCCCUUUCCUCCACCUCUGAAAACCACCAGUCUGUCAAACAUUUCUUUAGCAUUUCCUUCCACACACCCUUAAUACUUCUUGUCCCAAUCUUACCACAUGUUUCUGUCAAAAGUACACAGUUGUUUAAGGUACCAAGUUUAAAAAAUUAAAAAAAACAAACAGGGUAACAGCUACCCUCCACUCUGUGCAAUCUAUUUCCUUUUUUUUAUAUGGAGAUUUUUCAUUAUGAAAAUUUUCAAAUAAACAAAAAUCAAAGCAUAGUAAGAUAAUAGAUAGUAGUCAUUACUACCCAUAUACUAUUCAUCUGGAUUCAACAACCAUUAACAUUUUGAUAUUUUCUUUACAUGUAC